CCCUUAGAUGUUCUGGGCCGCACGCGCGUUACACUGAUGCAUUCAACGAGUUCUUCCUUGGCCGAGAGGCCUGGGCAAUCUUUUGAACGUGCAUCGUGAUAGGGAUAGAUUAUUGCAAUUAUUAAUCUUGAACGAGGAAUUCCUAGUAAACGCAGUUCAUCAAACUGCAUUGAUUACGUCCCUGCCCUUUGUACACACCGCCCGUCGCACCUACCGAUUGAAUGGUCCGGUGAAGCCUCGGGAUUGUGGUUCUUGCCGCUUUAUUGUGGCGUGACCGCGAGAACUUGUCUAAACCUUAUCAUCUAGAGGAAGGUGAAGUCGUAACA
rnacentral:rRNA from 1 species